rnacentral:rRNA from 2 species
CCUCGUACGAUGAGUACUAAACGUUGGGUAAAACCAGGUGUUGAAGCUAACACAUUAAGUACUCCGCCUGAGUAGUACGUACGCAAGUAUGAAACUUAAAGGAAUUGAUGGGACUCCGCACAAGCGGUGGAUCAUGUUGUUUAAUUCGAAGGUACCCGAAAAACCUCACCAGGUCUUGACAUGCUUCUGCAAAGCUGUAGAAACACAGUGGAGGUUAUCAGUUGCACAGGUGGUGCAUGGUUGUCGUCAGCUCGUGUCGUGAGAUGUUGGGUUAAGUCCCGCAACGAGCGCAACCCUUAUUGUUAGUUACCAGCACGUAAUGGUGGGGACUUUAGCAAGACUGCCAGUGAUAAAUUGGAGGAAGGUGGGGACGACGUCAAAUCAUCAUGCCCCUUAUGACCUGGGCUACAAACGCGAUACAAUGGCUGUUACAAAGGGUAGCUGAAGCGCAAGUUUUUGACGAAUCUCAAAAAAACAGUCUCAUUUUCGGAUUGAAAU